rnacentral:lncRNA from 1 species
GGGGAAGUGGUCAGCGUGGCGAAUGACGGAAGAAACUCGCAUUGUCUACUGGAUCAAGGACAGACAGCUCACCAACCGUGACAGCACCAUACUGGAACUUCAAAAAGUUCUGAAAACAUGUUGUAGUUCGGUGUAGCACUGUUUGCGGCGAGGAGAAAGGAAGGAGAGGAGAAAACUGCACUGGAUCAAGGAGGUCUUCCCAUAGGCCUGCAGUAGGGCUGUUUACCAUUGGAAGCAAGGGAAAGAGGAGGAGAUCAAUCUAGAAGCAUGGAGAUCUGCCUGCAUGUCUGCUGCAGGGCUUAAGAUCACUGGAAGCAAAGAAACAAAGAGGAGAUUGCUC